rnacentral:rRNA from 1 species
AACCAGCGGAGGGAUCAUUACUGAGAGCCUAAAAACUCCCUGAACCCACUGUGAAUCUACCUGUCCGUUGCUUCGGCGGGCGGCCCCAGGGCGGGGCCGCCCGCAGCCCGCGAGGGCGCCCGCCGGAGUCGGACCAGAACUCCUGUCAGCAGAACCUGCCAUCUGAGUCCAGCGAGAAAAUAAGUCAAAACUUUCAACAACGGAUCUCUUGGUUUGGGCAUCGAUGAAGAACGCAGCGAAAUGCGAUAAGUAAUGUGAAUUGCAGAAUUCAGUGAAUCAUCGAAUCUUUGAACGCACAUUGCGCCCGCCAGCAUUCUGGCGGGCAUGCCUGUCCGAGCGUCAUUUCCACCCUCAGGCCCGUUCUGCCUGGCGUUGGGGCACUCUGCGGGGCACCUCUACCGAGGCCCGCAGGCCCUGAAGAUGAUCGGCGGGCCCGCCGCGGCCCCUAGCGCAGUAGCAACACUCUCGCUAUGGGCGCCCCGCGCGGGUCUCUCUCCCUGCCGUAAAACCCCCCAUAGACAAAAUGGUGACCUCGGAU